rnacentral:rRNA from 1 species
UUCCGUAGGUGAACCUGCGGAAGGAUCAUUAAUGAAACUUCAGUCGGCUUUGUUAUCUGUGCUGGUGGCAUUCACAUGUGCACGGUAACAAGGUCGGCAUAUCCACACACCUGUGCAUCUUAUGACUCCAAGUUGCCCCAUGUGUGCCUAACAGGCCUGGCAAUUUGAGAGUAUUUUACACACUCUUGAAUGUAAUGGAAUGUCUAUUGUGCAUAAUGUACAACAGAAACAACUUUCAACAACGGAUCUCUUGGCUCUCGCAUCGAUGAAGAACGCAGCGAAAUGCGAUAAGUAAUGUGAAUUGCAGAAUUCAGUGAAUCAUCGAAUCUUUGAACGCACCUUGCACCCUUUGGUAUUCCAAAGGGUACACCCGUUUGAGUGUCAUUGUAAUCUCACCUCUUCAGCUUUCUUGUUGAUCAGUGUGGAUCUGGAUGCUGCUGUGACAAACAGCUCAUCUGAAAUGCCUGAGUGUAGCCAACUUCAGUGGUGCAUUUGGUGUAAUAAUCCUUCACCAGAGAAUGGUCCCUUUGGAUCACAUCACUUUUGCUGCGUAUAUGCUUCCAACAGUCUUUCUGAAGACAACAUUUUGACAAUUUGACCUCAAAUCGGGUGGGACUACCCGCUGAACUUAAGCAUAUCAAUAAGCGGAGGAAAAGAAACUAACAAGGAUUCCCCUAGUAACGGCGAGUGAAGAGGGAAAAGCUCAAAUUUUGAAUCUGGUGCCUUUGGCAUCCGAGUUGUAAUCUAGAGAAGUGUUUUCUGUGUUGGGCCAUGUACAAGUCCCCUGGAAUGGGGUGUCAUAGAGGGUGAGAAUCCCGUAUAUGACAUGGACAUCCAAUGCUCUGUGAUACACUCUCAACGAGUCGAGUUGUUUGGGAAUGCAGCUCAAAAUGGGUGGUAAAUUCCAUCUAAAGCUAAAUAUUGGCGAGAGACCGAUAGCGAACAAGUACCGUGAGGGAAAGAUGAAAAGCACUUUGGAAAGAGAGUGAAACAGUACGUGAAAUUGUUGAAAGGGAAGCGUUUGAAGUCAGUCAUGUCCAUUGGGAUUCAUCCUGGCUUCUGCCUGAUGUAUUUUCUGUUGGAUGGGUCAGCAUCAGUUUUGACCAAGGGAAAAAGGCAUGAGAAAUGUGACUGUCUUCGGGCAGUGUUAUAGACUCAUGUUGUAUGUCUUCGUUGGGACUGAGGACCGCAGCGCGCCAUAAAAGGCCGGGGGCUACCCGCCCCUCGACACCGCGCUUAGGAUGUUGGCUUAAUGACUUUAAGCGACCCGUCUUG